UGCACUUAUGUUUUAUUUUUUAACUUGUGGACAAACACUUAUAGAUAGAUGCAAAAAAAAAUCCUCUUUUCCAUCUGAGAACUUACUGUUCUGUAUGAGUUUUGAUACAUAUAAGAAAGGCUAUU